UACGUAGGGUGCAAGCGUUGUCCGGAAUUAUUGGGCGUAAAGAGCGUGUAGGCGGCCCGGUUAGUCCGCUGUGAAAGUCCAGGGCUCAACCCUGGGAUGCCGGUCGAUACUGCCGGACUAGAGUUCGGAAGAGGCGAGUGGAAUUCCCGGUGUAGCGGUGAAAUACGCAGAUAUCGGGAGGAACACCUAUGGCGAAGGCAGCUCGCUGGGACGUUACUGACGCUGAGACGCGAAAGCGUGGGGAGCAAACAGG
rnacentral:rRNA from 1 species